GGGGGCAUAGCUCAAAGGAAGAGCGCUUGCCUAACAUGCAUGAGGCCCUGGGUUUGAUCCCUAGUACCACAA
rnacentral:tRNA from 1 species